rnacentral:rRNA from 1 species
GAUGAACGCUGGCGGCGUGCUUAACACAUGCAAGUCGAACGGUGAACGAGGGAGCUUGCUCCCUCCGGAUCAGUGGCGAACGGGUGAGUAACACGUGAGCAACCUGCCCUGGACUCUGGGAUAAGCGUUGGAAACGACGUCUAAUACCGGAUACGAGACGUGGGGGCGUCCCCAACGCCUGGAAAGAACUUCGGUCCAGGAUGAGCUCGCGGCCUAUCAGCUAGUUGGUGAGGUAACGGCUCACCAAGGCGACGACGGGUGGCCGGCCUGAGAGGGUGACCGGCCACACUGGGACUGAGACACGGCCCAGACUCCUACGGGAGGCAGCAGUGGGGAAUAUUGCACAAUGGGCGCAAGCCUGAUGCAGCAACGCCGCGUGAGGGACGACGGCCUUCGGGUUGUAAGCCUCUUUUAGCAGGGAAGAAGCGAAAGUGACGGUACCUGCAGAAAAAGCACCGGCUAACUACGUGCCAGCAGCCGCGGUAACAC